UGGGGAAUAUUGCACAAUGGGCGCAAGCCUGAUGCAGCCAUGCCGCGUGUAUGAAGAAGGCCUUCGGGUUGUAAAGUACUUUCAGUCGGGAGGAAGGGAGUAAAGUUAAUACCUUUGCUCAUUGACGUUACCCGCAGAAGAAGCACCGGCUAACUCCGUGCCAGCAGCCGCGGUAAUACGGAGGGUGCAAGCGUUAAUCGGAAUUACUGGGCGUAAAGCGCACGCAGGCGGUUUGUUAAGUCAGAUGUGAAAUCCUCGGGCUCAACCUGGGAACUGCAUUCGAAACUGGCAGGCUAGAGUCUUGUAGAGGGGGGUAGAAUUCCAGGUGUGGCGGUGAAAUGCGUAGAGAUCUGGAGGAAUACCGGUGGCGAAGGCGGCCCCCUGGACAAAGACUGACGCUCAGGUGCGAAAGCGUGGGGAGCAAACAGG
rnacentral:rRNA from 1 species